rnacentral:snRNA from 1 species
AUCCCAGUGCACGGGCUUUACGCGUCACAGUGAGGAGCAAUCCGAGUGCGUGUUUUUGCUAGUUGAAAACUAUACUAUGACCACUCCUAUUUGGCUUUGCCGGGUAGGGAAUUUUUGUAACCAAAAACAUGAGCAUUUUG